AUAUUUAAAGCAAUUAAGGGCGUAUGGUGGAUGCCUAGACGACAAGAGGCGAAGAAGGACGUGGUAAGCUGCGAUAAGCUUCGGGGAGCUGCACACGAGCGAUAAUCCGAAGAUUUCCGAAUGGGACAACCCGUUAUGUUGAAGACAUAACACUCGAAAGAGAGCCAACCCGGAGAACUGAAACAUCUAAGUACCCGGAGGAAAAGAAAAUAACAAAUGAUUCCCCAAGUAGUGGCGAGCGAACGGGGAAGAGCCCAAACCAGAGUUGCGUGCAGCUUUGGGGUUGUAGGACUGCAUUUAGAAAGCGUUAUCAAACCGAACUACCUGGAAAGGUAGACCAAAGAGGGUGAAAGUCCUGUAGGUAGAAAUUAGCGUGGACGAGCAGUAUCCUGAGUAGGGCGGGACCAGAGGAAUCCUGUCUGAAUCUGCCGGUACCAUCCGGUAAGGCUAAAUACUCCUUGUCGAUCGAUAGUGAACCAGUACCGUAAGGGAAAGGUGAAAAGUACCCCGAAUAGGGGAGUGAAAUAGUACCUGAAACCGUGCGCCUACAAGCGGUCGGAGGGGUUAAACCUGACGGCGUGCCUUUUGCAUAAUGAUCCUACGAGUUGCUCCUCACUAGCAAGGUUAAGUACUUAAGUUACGGAGCCGCAGCGAAAGCGAGUCCGAAUAGGGCGAAUUAGUUAGUGGGGGCAGACGCGAAACUUUGUGAUCUAUCCAUGAGCAGGUUGAAGGUGUGGUAACACACACUGGAGGACCGAACGGGUUAGCGUUGAAAAGCUAUCCGAUGACUUGUGGAUAGGGGUGAAAGGCCAAUCAAACUGAGAGAUAGCUCGUUCUCUCCGAAAUGUUUUUAGGAACAGCGUCGCAUAUAGAAGUUUAUUAGAGGUAGAGCUACUGAUUGGACUAGGGGGCUUCACCGCCUACCAAAUCCUGACAAACUCCGAAUGCUAAUAAAUAUCUGCGGCAGUGAGGCUGUGGGCGCUAAGGUCCAUGGCCGAGAGGGGAACAACCCAGACUAUCAGCUAAGGCCCCUAAAUCUAUGUUAAGUUGGUUAAACGAUGUUCAAAUCCUAUGACAGCCAGGAUGUUGGCUUGGAAGCAGCCAUUCAUUUAAAGAGUGCGUAACAGCUCACUGGUCGAGGGUUCGGGCGCGGAAAAUGAUCGGGCAUCAAACAUAGUGCCGAAGCUAUAGGAUUGUACGUUAGUACAAUCGGUAGGAGAGCAUUCUAAACUGCGUUGAAGGUGUGUGGUGAUGCAUGCUGGAGCGUUUAGAAAAGAAAAUGUAGGAAUGAGUAACGAUAAACAAGGUGAAAAACCUUGUCGCCGAAAGACUAAGGGUUCCUGAUCAACGUUAAUCGGAUCAGGGUAAGUCGGGACCUUAGGCGUACCCGAAAGGGGAAGUCGAUGGAAAAUGGGUUAAUAUUCCCAUACCUGUGUAAUAUUCGAUGGAGUAACGCAGAAGUGACAAGUCCGCGAACUGACGGAAUAGUUCGUUAAAGGAUGUAGGUAUAGGCCUGGUAGGCAAAUCCGCCGGGACUGCUGAAAUCUGAUAGUACUGCAAAGCUUCGGUGGCGCAGAUAGUGACUGUAAUCAGACUGCCGAGAAAAACUUCUAAGGUUCGUAUUAUACAGCUCGUACCGUAAACCGACACAGGUAGUCGAGAUGAGUAUUCUCAGGCGCUCGGGUGAGCCGUGGAGAAGGAACUAGGCAAAUUAUGGCUGUAACUUCGGAAUAAAGCCAACCGCAGUGAUGCGGUCUCAGUAAAAUGGUGCAACCAACUGUUUAGCAAAAACACAGGGCCCUGCGAAAUCGAAAGAUGAAGUAUAGAGCCUGAUACCUGCCCGGUGCUGGAAGGUUAAGGAAGUUUGUCAGCCGCAAGGUGAAGCUUACGACUGAAGCCCCAGUAAACGGCGGCCGUAACUAUAACGGUCCUAAGGUAGCGAAAUUCCUUGUCGGGUAAGUUCCGACCUGCACGAAUGGUCUAAUGAGUUGCACACUGUCUCCUCCACGAGCCCGGUGAAAUUGUAGUAUCGGUGAAGAUGCCGGUUACCCGCCACGGGACGAAAAGACCCCGUGAACCUUCACUACAACUUUGCAUUGAUUUUGGGUAACAGAUGUGUAGCAUAGUUGGGAGACUAAGAAGCAUGCACGCCAGUGUGUGUGGAGUCACCGUUGAAAUACCAACCUUCUGUUACUUAGAGUCUAAUCCCUGCGAAACAGGGAAACAUUGCAUGGUGGGUAGUUUGACUGGGGUGGUCGCCUCCCAAAGCGUAACGGAGGCUCGCAAAGGUUCCCUCAGCACGGUUGGUAAUCGUGCGUAGAGCGUAUUAGUAUAAGGGAGCUUGACUGUGAGGCUGACUAGCCGAGCAGGUGCGAAAGCAGGCUAAAGUGAUCCGGCGAUUCUGUAUGGAAGGGUCGUCGCUCAAAGGAUAAAAGGUACUCCGGGGAUAACAGGCUGAUCUCCCCCAAGAGCUCAUAUCGACGGGGAGGUUUGGCACCUCGAUGUCGGUUCGUCACAUCCUGGGGCUGGAGAAGGUCCCAAGGGUUGGGCUGUUCGCCCAUUAAAGUGGCACGUGAACUGGGUUCAGAACGUCGCAAGACAGUUUGGUCUCUAUCUGUGGUGGGCGUUAGUAAAUUGCGAGGACAUGACCUUAGUACGAGAGGACCGGGUUGUAUGUACCGCUGGUGUAUCUGUUGUGCCGCCAGGUGCAGUGCAGAGUAGCUAUGUACAGAAAGGAUAAGCGCUGAAAGCAUCUAAGCGCGAAACCUUCCUUAAGAUGAGUUUACUUUUAAGUGCCGUCGAAGACUACGACGUUGAUAGGUUACAGGUGUAAAGGUGGUAACAUCAUAGCCGAGUAAUACUAAUUGCACGUACGCUUUAACUUU
rnacentral:rRNA from 1 species